rnacentral:rRNA from 1 species
CCUACGGGAGGCAGCAGUGGGGAAUAUUGCGCAAUGGGCGAAAGCCUGACGCAGCGACGCCGCGUGAGGGAUGAAGGUCUUCGGAUCGUAAACCUCUGUCAGCAGGGAAGAACGGUCACUGUGCUAAUCAGCAGUGAAUUGACGGUACCUGCAAAGGAAGCACCGGCUAACUCCGUGCCAGCAGCCGCGGUAAUACGGAGGGUGCGAGCGUUAAUCGGAAUUACUGGGCGUAAAGCGCUCGUAGGCGGUAUGUCAAGGCAAGGGGGAAAUCCCCGCGCUCAACGUGGGAACUGCCUUUGAAACUGGCAAACUGGAGUGUGUGAGAGGAUAGUGGAAUUCCAGGUGUAGGAGUGAAAUCCGUAGAUAUCUGGAGGAACAUCAGUGGCGAAGGCGACUAUCUGGCACAUAACUGACGCUGGGGAGCGAAAGCGUGGGUAGCAAACAGGAUUAGAUACCCCUGUAGUC